AUUGCUGCAAGCCAUUUUGGGCGCUAGGGGGCACGCACCAGCUCAGCGUCACUGAUCUGAACUCAAGCGGAGGCUUGAGUGUCAGUGCGCGUCCGCUUUCUCACGGCACCCAUAUGGUAGGCACUGAUGCGUCAUUUGUGACGCUGGUGCACUUUCCCAGGAGUUCCCCUUCUCCGCGCCGGCGCGUUAGAUUCAGCAUCUCCUAGAGGGAUGCUCUUCUUCUGCGCAGACGCGGUCCCUGUGGUUCCUAUGGGUAAUCCCCAUGACAUCUGCCGUGAAUACCACGCCCAUCUUAGAGUGAGGAGCUGCCCCCUACUCAGCUGUGUAUCAUCUCACUCUGAUUGAGGGCAGCUUAUUAGUGAGCCGCACAGCUGAUGUGUCAGCGUGAGCUCUGCCAGAGGAAUCAUUCCUUGGUAUACAGAGGCAACAGCAGGUCAUAGUAUCUGGACUAUUCAGUUCUCCUGGGCAAUUUAUCUGCCCUAUUCCCGGCAGUUAUUAUUGCAACUAGAAUCAGUAUAGUAUUGACAGAAAUCUCUUGGGAUGAAUUAUAUCCAUCUCUUCUGAGACUACCUCAUCAUCAAUCUUCCCAUUUUUUCUAUCAUCAUUUUAAUCAGGUAAUAAUCAUUAAUUCUUUUACACAUAUCUCUCUACAGUUGUCUGUUCAUCGCAAUCUUUCUCCCUUUCUGG